CCCUGUCCCUCCAAGGGCUCUGGGAUCCUGCAGAGCAGUGCUGGGCUCUGCUCCUGUCCCAAACCCAGGGCUCCCUGUGCUGCAGGGAGGUCUGAGCUCGUGCCUUCCCACCAGGGCUGGUUCUGUGCUCUGAAGGGGCUGUGGGAUCAGCCCAGCCGAGGCUGCAGCCAGCUCCUCCUCAGGCACUCCCAGCUCAUCCCCAGGGGCUGGGGGCUCUCAGCAGCUCCUGCCUCCCCCCAGAAAGUUUGGUAAAAAGACACCUCCUAGGACCUUUGGGGCUUCACCUCAACUGGACAGAGGCCAAGAGGUCCCACCCAGCAAAACCUGGUCCCUCUGGUGAGUGAGGAUGAAAUGAUCACUGCCCUUGACCCAAAGGCUGCCUGGGCCCCUGCAGAAGUCAGCCAUGAAUGUCACCCCAAGGCUCUAAUUCCCAGAAUUUGUGGUAUUGAGCCCAUCCCUGGUGCAUCAAUUCCAUUCCCACCCAGGAUUCUGUCUGGGCAGGGUCAGCUCCUUCCUCUGGAUCCUGACGGCGUCUCCAGGGCUGAGCAGGCAGGGAGAAGUUCGUUUGUCCUGAUAAUGGGGCAAUAAAUUCUCUUUCUCUGACA